GAAAUCUAAGAAAAGAAAAGUCUUCUUCCUCUUCCUCCCCUCCUCCCGUCCCCAUCGCCCAAUUCACAUGGCUCUGCGUCUCCACGGCCAAUUCGAUCCAACCCGCGAAGAGAGCCCCCGCUUCUCCCCAUCCAAUUCCGCCACCUGCUCGUUCUCCCAGUUCCUCCUCGCCGCCCCAGCUGACGACGGCCACCUCUGUUCGAUCCACCGCUGACUGGUCCCCCCCGCUCCUGGUUUCGGGGGCGGUUCUUCGAUUCUUGAGAUCUUAGCUCCUUCUUCGACGGCCUCACCGCUGCCAUGGGCAAGAGUAAGAAAAACAAGGGUGGUCGAGGAGGCGGCGGCGGUGGUGGAGAGGACCAAUUUGACGGAGGUAGUGACGUGGAUAGCGUGAGUUCGGUGUCGACGGCGCUGUCCGACCUCCAGCUCGCGCAGGCCACCGAGCAAGUUAGCUCGCAGGAUUUUGUUCUUGACAAAUACAUCGACGAUCUCUAUGAGAAGAGGGGAUCCACAAGAGAGGCAGCAUUAGGCGCUCUUGUUGAUGCUUUUGAAAGUUUUGUGCUACUUGAUUUAGUGGAAAACAAGUAUGCCACACUUUUGAGCCAAUUUAUCAAUUCAAUAAAAAAAGGAUCCAUAAAGGAGGUCUGUCUGGCUUGUCACACCACUGGCUUACUGGCCAUUACACUUGGUGCUGGAAGUAGUUCUCAUGAAAUAAUGGAUGAAUCCCGUCUGCAGCUUCUGAGAGUCCUCCAAACUUGGCCUGAUGCUUCAAAAAUGAUAUCUGCACUUGAUUGCUUAGCUGUUGUCACAUUUGUUGGUGCAACUGAUCUAUCUGAAACCCAGCUAUCUAUGAAAGCCAUCUGGGAUGUGAUUCACCCUAAGUCAGGAUCCAAUGUUGGAAUUGUCAGAAAACCAAAGCCUCCCUUGUUAGCAGCUGCUGUGUCUGCAUGGGCACUUCUUUUGACAACUAUUGUUUCAUCAAAAAGAAACGUUGACUCUUGGAAAGAGUCAAUUACAUUUCUUUCUGCUCUUCUAGAAGCGGAGGACCGUGCUGUGCGGAUGGCUGCUGGUGAAGCAUUAGCACUGUGCUUCGAGUUAAAACUGCUUGAUGUUUUCUCCAAUGAAGAAGUUGAGGUGGACACUGCAGAAGCUAGUGGUUCUAAGAACCAACUUUUCUUGAAUAUGCAAGCAUUGAAGGCCAAAAUAUCUGGUCUAGUCUAUAAUCUCUCUAUGGAAGCGGGGGGAAGAGGUGCUGACAAGAAAAAUCUGAAUGAUCAAAGAGACUUAUUCCAACGAAUCUCAGAUUUUAUUAAGACUGGUGAGUGCCUUGAAGAAUCACUUAGAAUUGCAGGCAAGCAUGGUAUUUUAAGAGUUACAUCAUGGCGUGAAUCAAUACAGUUGAACUAUUUGAGGCGGUUCCUUGGGCGAGGAUUUCUGAAGCAUGCACAAGACAAUGGAUUGCUACAUGAUAUCUUUGACAUCAAAAUGGAUAAAACUGAAAACAUGUCAACCACUGAAAAGGACCGGAGGUGCUCGACGAUGGAGGCAGCGAAAGCUGUUCUAGUGCAUGGCGAGCGCAGCGCUGGCGACAGUGGGUUUAGCGUGGAGUUUAUCCACCAAGAUUUUGCCAGGUCGCCGCUCCAUGAUCCCGUGCUGACCACGAAAAUCCACGUGCUCAGUGCCGUACGUGUGACCGUUCAUGGCAUGUGUCGGCGUGCUCGCAGGAUCUUUUGAAGUGGUGGAUGAUGGUGUCAUGUCGAAGGUCGUGACCUGGUGAUUUGAGUACCUGAUGGCACUCACCGCCUCACCGACACGUUCAAUGAUCGUCAUCGCCAACACAGGCAGUGAGGUUGAACUGGUUAUGUGCAAGUAGGGGAGCAACCACACCAAAAGAGCACCCGGUGACGGAGUGACUCCGGUGAUACAGUUUGACUGGCCAGCAUGUUUGUUCCCUGGAGAUAGGCAUAGGCUGGUUGGCCUCAGCGUGCGCGCUCAACUUUGGCAUAGGGCAUGACAAUCCUCAGUGUACCGUGUUCGACGUUACGAGGUGAUCUGGCGAUGGGUGAAAAAGGGAAAAGGACAGAAAGCGCGAUGUAAUCUGGCGUGAUCUCAACUCAGUGGUCCCGCGUGAUCUUUGAGAACGAGCUAGCACAUCUCAAUCUCGAUCUUUAACGGACGACCUACAAAAGGACUUGCGGGGAAAUAGGAAUCGAAUAAAGGGCUUCCACUCUCGUGAAGCUGUUUUCUACUAGCGAUGGAUGAAAUCUUUUUUCCAAAAUACUUACGUACUCCGUAUUUUUUAAGUAGAAAAUCUAUAGGUCUGGAGAAGAGAAAGGAAGAGCUCUAAAGUUGAAUAAGGAGCGUCGUUUAGCCCAAAUGAGGAAGCAAAAUAUCUUAAACGAGCAAUAAAGGAUAGGGAUGUUCUAUUCUUCCUGGAAUUUUGUAUAGCCGAAAUCCUAUCAGAUAUUGAGUGUGUUUAUAGGCCAAUGUUAAUUCAUUCAAGAGCGUUACAAACUUAAUACAAUAUACAAUGUACUUAUAAAUUAGAACACAAUGUUACUGAAAAAACACUUCUGAAGAAUUAUUUGUAACUUCCUGCUGGUACAGCAGAUUUAAACACGCAGUUGUCUAAACAGUAUUUUCCCUUUCUA